GCCCGCUUAGCUCAGUUGGCUAGAGCACCACCUUGACAUGGUGGGGGUCAGAGGUUCGAGUCCUCUAGCGGGUACCA
rnacentral:tRNA from 1 species